AGAGUUUGAUCCUGGCUCAGGACGAACGCUGGCGGCGUGCUUAACACAUGCAAGUCGAGCGAGAAACCUUCGGGUUUCUAGCGGCGGACGGGUGAGUAACACGUGGGUAACCUGCCUCAAAGUGGGGGAUAGCCUUCCGAAAGGAAGAUUAAUACCGCAUAACAUUGUAGCUUCGCAUGAAGUAGCAAUUAAAGGAGUAAUCCGCUUUGAGAUGGACCCGCGGCGCAUUAGCUAGUUGGAGAGGUAACGGCUCACCAAGGCAACGAUGCGUAGCCGACCUGAGAGGGUGAUCGGCCACAUUGGAACUGAGACACGGUCCAGACUCCUACGGGAGGCAGCAGUGGGGGAUAUUGCACAAUGGAGGAAACUCUGAUGCAGCAACGCCGCGUGAGGGAAGAAGGUUUUCGGAUUGUAAACCUCUGUCCUCGGUGACGAAACAAAUGACGGUAGCCGAGGAGGAAGCUCCGGCUAACUACGUGCCAGCAGCCGCGGUAAUACGUAGGGGGCAAGCGUUAUCCGGAAUUACUGGGUGUAAAGGGUGAGUAGGCGGCAUGAUAAGUAAGAUGUGAAAGCCCGCAGCUUAACUGCGGGAUUGCAUUUUAAACUAUUGAGCUAGAGUACAGGAGAGGAAAGCGGAAUUCCCAGUGUAGCGGUGAAAUGCGUAGAUAUUGGGAAGAACACCAGUGGCGAAGGCGGCUUUCUGGACUGAAACUGACGCUGAGGCACGAAAGCGUGGGGAGCGAACAGGAUUAGAUACCCUGGUAGUCCACGCCGUAAACGAUGAGUGCUAGGUGUCGGAGGGGAACCUUCGGUGCCGCAGCAAACGCAAUAAGCACUCCACCUGGGGAGUACGAUCGCAAGAUUGAAACUCAAAGGAAUUGACGG
rnacentral:rRNA from 1 species